UCCAUCCAACAACAACACCUCGUUCGUAGUAAUAACUGCGGCGCACAGUCCUCUCGCCCCAUGUCUUGUCUGGAGGAAAGCGUGAAUUUCUUGUAUCUCGAAAUCGGAGAGAUUUAUUUGCUAUUUGCUUUUGCAAAGAAUACAAACCAGGCAGAGAAAGGAUGUGCCGUGUUGUUGACUGUUGACUUUAACCCCGAAUUCCAUUCGGAUUCUCUGGAAGGCAGAGAGGAGCAGAGGAUGAGGAAGAAGAAGAAGGGCCACGGCCACACCAGAACAAACUUCAAUAAACAGAUGCCAACCAGACGAGAGGAACUAACCAACAACCAAGUAGUCAAAUUCACAUUGCACGCUUAUUGAAAAGAAAGAAGUGGAAGUCGUGAUCUUUUCUGGGUAGAAAGAGGGUCAAAUUUUCAAAAUUAUUUACAAAUGUUUAAUAAAGUUUGGAGGAUGGCGUCUCGUGUGACAUCAUUUUUUAUGUGAUAUGCAGAA